rnacentral:rRNA from 1 species
UACGUAGGGUGCGAGCGUUUAAUCGGAAUUACUGGGCGUAAAGCGUGCGCAGGCGGCGCCGCAAGUCAGGCGUGAAAUCCCCGAGCUUAACUUGGGAAUGGCGCUUGAAACUACGGUGCUGGAGUGUGGCAGAGGGAGGUGGAAUUCCACGUGUAGCGGUGAAAUGCGUAGAGAUCAUGAGGAAGACCAGUGGCGAAGGCGGGUCUCUGGACAGUUCCUGACACUGAGGCACGAAGGCCAGGGGAGCAAACGGG